ACUAGAUGUCGCCAGUGUCGCCGAUGUUAUUCUUUCAUGGUGAAAAGAGGCGAAAUGAGCAAAACAAAUUGUUGUUAAUAUAUACUUAUUCCUGUGAUUUCAAAUACCAAAUUUAACUUCGUAUCAUAUAUGCACACUGUCAGUCAAUCCAACACGUUGACUUGGUGCUCAGUCAAUUUCCAUCCAUUAGAUCCUCAUGUUGUCAAAAGCCUAAAACUCAUGUGUGAAGCUCACAUAUCGUGGAAUACAAAUGUGUGGAGACAAGCAUCAGGAAAUUUACCUCAACCUAAGGAGUAAGGCUGUUAGUUGCUGUGAUUUCCAUUUUUGCGGUUUUUUAUCAUGAAAACUUCAGCGUGCUUCUUAGUAUAGAGCAUGUUAUAGAUCCUUAAGCCAAUGCUGACCUUUGUCCAUGAAGGA